rnacentral:rRNA from 1 species
UACGUAGGGUGCAAGCGUUACUCGGAAUUACUGGGCGUAAAGCGUGCGUAGGUGGUUCGUUAAGUCUGAUGUGAAAGCCCUGGGCUCAACCUGGGAAUGGCAUUGGAUACUGGCGGACUGGAGUGCGGUAGAGGAUGGCGGAAUUCCCGGUGUAGCAGUGAAAUGCGUAGAGAUCGGGAGGAACAUCUGUGGCGAAGGCGGCCAUCUGGACCAGCACUGACACUGAGGCACGAAAGCGUGGGGAGCAAACAGG